AUUGAACGCUGGCGGCAGGCCUAACACAUGCAAGUCGAGCGGUAGAGAGGUGCUUGCAUCUCUUGAGAGCGGCGGACGGGUGAGUAAUGCCUAGGAAUCUGCCUAGUGGUGGGGGAUAACGUUCGGAAACGGACGCUAAUACCGCAUACGUCCUACGGGAGAAAGCGGGGGAGUCUUCGGACCUCGCGCCAUUAGAUGAGCCUAGGUCGGAUUAGCUAGUUGGUGAGGUAAUGGCUCACCAAGGCGACGAUCCGUAACUGGUCUGAGAGGAUGAUCAGUCACACUGGAACUGAGACACGGUCCAGACUCCUACGGGAGGCAGCAGUGGGGAAUAUUGGACAAUGGGCGAAAGCCUGAUCCAGCAAUGCCGCGUGAGUGAUGAAGGCCUUAGGGUUGUAAAGCUCUUUUACCCGAGAUGAUAAUGACAGUAGUCGGGAGAAUAAGCUCCGGCUAACUCCGUGCCAGCAGCCGCGGU
rnacentral:rRNA from 1 species